GAGUGAAGCGGCAAUAGCUCAAAUUUGAAAUCUGGCCCUCUCUACGGGUCCGAGUUGUACUUUGCAGAGGGUGCUUUGGCAUUGGUUGCGUUCUAAGUUCCUUGGAACAGGACAUCGGAGAGGGUGAGAAUCCCGUACGUGAUCGCCUGCCUUCGCCAUGUAAAGCCCCUUCGACGAGUCGAGUUGUUUGGGAAUGCAGCUCUAAAUGGGAGGUAAAUUUCUUCUAAAGCUAAAUACCGGCCAGAGACCGAUAGCGCACAAGUAGAGUGAUCGAAAGAUGAAAAGCACUUUGGAAAGAGAGUCAAACAGCACGUGAAAUUGUUGAAAGGGAAGCGCUUGCCGCCAGACUUGCCCGCAGUCGCUCAUCUGGGCUUCCGCCCAGAGCAUUCUUCUGCGGGCAGGCCAGCAUCAGUUCGGGGCGACCGGAUAAUGGCCUCUGUCAUGUAUCUUCCUUCGGGAUGACCUUAUAGGCGAGGCGUAGUACGGCCAGCCCGGACUGAGGUCCGCGCAUCUGCUAGGAUGCUGG
rnacentral:rRNA from 1 species